rnacentral:rRNA from 1 species
GACGAACGCUGGCGGCGUGCUUAACACAUGCAAGUCGAACGGACAGGCCCUGCUUUUGGGGGGUGCUCGAGUGGCGAACGGGUGGGUAACACGUGAGUAACCUGCCCUUGACUUUGGGAUAACUUCAGGAAAAUAGGGCUAAUACCAGAUAGGAGCUCCUGCUGCAUGGUGGGGGUUAGAAAGAUUCGGCGGUUGGGUGUGGCCUCGAGGCUUAUCAGCUUGUCGGUGGGGUAGUGGCGUACCAAGGCUUUGACGGGUAGCCGGCCUGUGGGGGUGACCGGCCCCAUUGGGACUGAGGUAGGGCCCAGACUCCAACGGGAGGCAGCAGUGGGGAAUAUUGCGCAAUGGGCGGAAUCCUGAUGCAGCAACGCCGCGUGCGGGAUGACGGCUUUCGGGUUGUAAACCGCUUUCGCCUGUGACGAAGCGUGAGUGACGGUAAUGGGUAAAGAAGCACCGGCUAACUACGUG